CUAAUCUGCUGUUUGUGUCUUUCUCUUCUCCUUUCCUUUAUCUCUGCAGAAACGAAAUCCCUAAAUCGCGAAGCACCCAAGCACCGACGCCGCUCUGCCGCUCUCGUCAGUCGUCACCGCCCUCGCGCUCGCACCACCGCCGCCAUUCCGCCGGUCAUCUGAAGCUUUGCUGAGCCGCUGACCCCGCCGAGCUCCACUGGUUUUGCCCGCGAAGUCGCUGAGCCCCGCCGAGCUCGCACCUGAGCAGUGACGCCGCCUCCGUUCGAUCGCCUCAUCCCACCUGCUGCUGUUGCCUCGCCGACGCCCUUGAUCGACAAAUCUCCGUUCGAUCGCCCCUCGCCGCGAAGUCGCUGACCCCCGCAAAUCUCGCGUUCGCAAAUCUCCCCUGCUGCUGAUCUACCGACGCCCGAACGACGCCCCCCCUGCUCUGCUCGCUGACACCAGCUGAAGCCGCGUCCCACCGAGCCCCUUGCUGCAAUUUGGGAGUGCUUCUGUUCUGUUUUCUGGGAUCCAAGCCAUUCUGAAUCUCUGAUUGUGCUGUCCAUCAGGUAACAUUAGUCAUUUUGUAUUAUUUUUUCACACUAGCAUUAUUUCUGUCCUUAAAUCUGCAUCCAACUGUUGCUGUCUUCCUUGAUCUUGUCUGCAUUCACAACACACUUUUAAGCAUUUCAUCAGCAUCAAUAGAGUUUACGGCAGGAAGAGCGUCCUGCUUAUCAAGCUUCUUCAUGACAGAAUUGGCAGAGUUAAUAUCACUAGAGUUAAGCUCAGUGAAACGAGGGAGAGAAAACACUAGUGGGAUUAGUUAGGGAUAGGACGAGUCUCUUUGCUAAUGAUGAUGAUGAUGAUGAAUUUCAUCUGCCGUUCGAUUGAGGUAAUGGACUGUUGCUGCAUCAACAGUUUUCUCAACCAUUGCCCACCAAACUCCCAACCAUUUUCGGUGAAUGCACAGGAUGUCCCUGACCAUUACUAGCAACCUCAAUCAUGUAGAACUGUCGUAAUCAGAGCUCCACAAGGACCCCCACUUUUAUGCUCUCCUUGAGGAACACUGAUGAUAAACGACAGACUUGCUUUACAAACGUAUCUAUUCCAAGUCCCACAUCAUUUGAGAAUCAAUUCAAUGGAUAGGCUUCACAA